UGGGGAAUAUUGGGCAAUGGGGCGCAAGCCUGACCCAGCAACGCCGCGUGAAGGAAGAAGGCCUUCGGGUUGUAAACUUCUUUGUACGAGGGACGAUCAUGACGGUACCUCGAAAACAAGCCACGGCUAACUACGUGCCAGCAGCCGCGGUAAUACGUAGGUGGCAAGCGUUGUCCGGAUUUACUGGGUGUAAAGGGCGUGUAGGCGGGAGACCAAGUCAGAUGUGAAAUGUAGGGGCUCAACCCCUGAGCUGCAUUUGAAACUGGUUUCUUGAGUGAUGGAGAGGCAGGCGGAAUUCCCGGUGUAGCGGUGAAAUGCGUA
rnacentral:rRNA from 1 species